UACAGAGGGUGCGAGCGUUAAUCGGAAUUACUGGGCGUAAAGCGUGCGUAGACGGUAGCGUAAGUCAGAUGUGAAAGCCCCGGGCUCAACCUGGGAAUUGCAUUUGAGACUGCUCUGCUUGGGUGCGGAAGAGGGAAGCGGAAUUUCCGGUGUAGCGGUGAAAUGCGUAGAUAUCGGGAAGAACACCCGUGGCGAAGGCGGCUCUCUGGGGCGGUACUGACGCUGAGACGCGAAAGCGUGGGGAGCGAACAGG
rnacentral:rRNA from 1 species